rnacentral:lncRNA from 1 species
AUAUUUGUAACGAUUAUUACAGACAAUGGAUUUGACGCGCGUUUAGCUCUCACAUUUUGGCCAUCGUCCUCAUUGACUGUAGCUUACUUUGCACUCACAAUUGCCAUGACACUCCCUCUCAAGCUCUUAAGAGCUCGUAACUCGAACUAUUACUUUUGAAUACGUAAGCAACACGAGCAACAGUAAUUACAGAAAAACAACCAAAAAUGACAAUACAAAAUGACCUCCAAUUGGUGCCCCAUUCUUGUUUCUUUACCAUCGGUGAUUACAA